UACGAAGGGGGCUAGCGUUGCUCGGAAUCACUGGGCGUAAAGCGCACGUAGGCGGAUCGUUAAGUCAGGGGUGAAAUCCUGGAGCUCAACUCCAGAACUGCCUUUGAUACUGGCGACCUUGAGUUCGGGAGAGGUGAGUGGAACUGCGAGUGUAGAGGUGAAAUUCGUAGAUAUUCGCAAGAACACCAGUGGCGAAGGCGGAUCUCUGGGCCUUACCUGACGCUGAGGCGCGAAAGCUAGGGGAGCAAACAGG
rnacentral:rRNA from 1 species